AAUCCCUAACGUAGUUGGGAUUGACGUUUGUAAUCAGCGUCAUGAACCAGGAAUCCCUUGUAAAUGUGUGUCAACAACGCACGUUGAAUACGUCCCUGCCCUUUGUACACACCGCCCGUCGCUCCUACCGAUUGGAUGACUCGGUGAAAUCA
rnacentral:rRNA from 1 species